GUUAAAAUUGUCUACCAUCUCUGAGUCUGAGACUGGCAUUCAAGUUUCUACCUCGUUCAACCUCUGAAGAGGUCAACAGAGUUCUUUUUGUACAAUUAUGCAGUUGACCAAAAGAAUUGAGCAGUUAGUAGAGACACUCCGAGUCUGCAAGUAAAACCUCAAACGAGGCAGGACCCUGAUUGGACAAAUAUUUGCAGUGGACAAGGCCAGGCAAGCAUGGGGUAACAUCUGCAUGAGAUGGUGUCAUCGUCUACAUCCCUGUCACUGGGCUUUACAGUUCCGGUCAUAUUCUAGAAUUUUGGAGGCUCUUUAUAGCCGUCCUGUACCCGCUGAAGAUAGCGAGCUGCUUUUGGGACAGUGUCAGCGCUCCGCUCGAGACAGGGAACGGUUCUCCUCUCCUGCAGCACGUGGCUGUGGAACUCCUCACACUCUGUCCUGCUAAACCUCGCUCGCUGGUGGAAGAUAUAUAUGACCACCAGCUGUAUGAUCAAAUGCUACUGGCUGCAAUGCAUGCUGGGUACAGAGGCGCCAUGCCAACGGACCAGAAAAUUGUAGCAGCUGGACAUCAGGACAGAAGAUAGGAUCAAUGCAUCAUGUAAGAGCAAGCUGGCCAUGAAUGGCAGCCGUCCAUAGCAGCAUUCAGGGAGCUGGGGGGACUUGAGCCUCAGCUUGAACAACAGAGAAACGACAUAUUCCUGCUGUUAUUUUUUUAAAUUUCUUUGAUAAUUUUAAAUAUUGUCAGAAAGCAAACAGAGAAUUACUUCGGUUGCUCUCAGCCAAACAAGUAUAAAGAAAUUAAAUGUAACUGAUAGCAAGAAUUAUACAAGAUGAGUAUACAAGAAAGCAAGAAUUAUUCAAGAUGGCUGCAGCGGGUGUUAACAUUUUUGUAUAUUUAGCUGAAACUUCUAUCCGAGGCAACAUACAUUUUUGGGAAAGCAGGGACGGACAGGUCCUGAAGCAACUAGAGGUUAAGGGCCUUA